rnacentral:rRNA from 1 species
UACAGAGGUCUCAACCGUUGUUCGGAUUCAUUGGGCGUAAAGGGCGCGUAGGCGGCGCGGUAAGUCACUUGUGAAAUCUCUGAGCUUAACUCAGAACGGCCAAGUGAUACUGCAGUGCUAGAGUGUGGAAGGGGCAAUCGGAAUUCCUGGUGUAGCGGUGAAAUGCGUAGAUAUCAGGAGGAAUACCGGUGGCGAAAGCGACUCUCUGGACGGCAACUGACGCUGAGGCACGAAAGCGUGGGGAGCAAACAGG